UUUUGGGGCAAUUCUCAGCACUUUGGGGCAUUUUCUGUCCCCUUGGCAUCCAUUUCAGGGCAUUUUAGAGUCCUUUGGGAUUGUUUUGAGUACUUUUAAUCAUUUUGGAGUCCAUUUUGUGGUGUUUUGUGUCCCUUUUGUGGUGUUUUGCGUCCCUUGGGGGUCCAUCUUGGGCCACUUUCCCUCACUUUUGGGCCACUUUCCCUCACUUUUGGGCCACUUUCUGGCGUGGCCCCGCCACGGCAGCGGCGGCGAGGAUGAGGAGGGGCAGGAGGUGGAGGCAGAAGCCGACGGAGGCCCAGUAGCGCAGCGUGUGGCGGGCGCCCAGCAGCACGAAGCCCAUGCAGAGGUAGUCGUAGGCGCGCAUCUUCAGGAACCACUGCAGGCCGCGGGCCAGCCACAGCGGCACGCUCAGGAAGCUCAGGUAGUAGCCGGGGUGCAGCCCGUGCCAGUAGGCCGAGACCAGCAUGGUGCAGGCGCUCCUGGGGGGCACAGGCACCAGUAUAACCAGUAUGCCCAGUGACCCCCCCGCAGUGCCUCCCAGUACCUCCCAGUACACAUAAAGCCUCACACCAGUGCCUCCCAGUACAACCAGCACACACAAAUCCUCAUCCCAGUGCUUCCCAGUGCCCCCCAGUACCCCUCCCAGUGCCUCCCAAUGCCCCAAAUCCCCCUCCUAGUGCCCCCAACUCCCCUCCCAGUGCCUCCCAGUGGCUCCCAGUGGCAUACCUCAGCACGGGGGGGGCUGCGGGGGGCGCGGCGGUGGAUGUAGUGUGCCAGCCACCACUGCACGGUCAUGUUCCAGUGCCGCAUGCCCUCGCGGAAGCGGACGCAGAAGUCGGUGCCCAGGGGGUCGAUGUUGUGCACGGCCUCGUAGUCAAAGAGCUCCCCUGGCACCUCCCGCGUCCUGGGGGGGGGUUGGGGUGAUUUGGGGGCUUUUUGGGGUUUUGAGGGGUUUCUGGUUUUUGGGGGGAUUUUGGGGGGUUUGGGGGGUUUUGGGGGGAAUUGGGGAGUUUUGGGGGUUUUAGGGAUUUUGGGGAUUUUGGGGCUUUUUGGGGUUUUGGGGGGGGUUCCCCCUCAGUCCCCCUCCCAGUGCCUCCCAGUCCCUCCCAGUGCCCCCAAAUCCCCCUCAAUCCCCCUCCCAGCGCCUGCCAGCACCCCCCAGCGCCCCCCUUACCUAUCAUAGGGCGCUGUGGGACCCUGCCCGGGCCGGGGC
rnacentral:lncRNA from 1 species